GGGGCGGCGGGGAGGCUUCAGAAACCGCCCCUCCCUCAAGGGCCACGGGGAGCGAGGAAGACACCCACCUAGCCCCGGAGGGGCUGCGGCUGACGCGAGGUUCACUCCUUCCCUCCUCCUCUCUCCGCUUCCCCUCGUUUAACCUCCAGCAGCAGCACUAGGGAAGCGCGAGCCGGCGUCGUCGGUGCAUCUGGGUGCUGCAAGCAGAGGCUAUGCGAAACUCCGAGGCUGGUGGGAUUUCUUUGCUUUCCUUCUUUUCGUUAGUGAAUCCCUGAAUGGAUUUAGCCAGUCGUUGCUCCAGAGCAGGCGCGCUAGUCCAAAAGAGUGUAGCUNUUUAAAGGUUACCUGCAGACACACUUGUAAGAACGGCAAGAACCCAAAAUGAGAAACUCAUCUCAUGCAUUGGGAGCAUGAAUGCUAGAGAUCAAAAAUCUCUUCACUACUCAUUUNCAGCUGCUAUUAUUUCCUUCAGGAACUGGAGCUCAGCUGUGCCUACCUACAUUGGAGCAGCCAGAUACUCUUGCUCCCAGAAGGUGUCUGCAGUGAUUCUGGAAUUUCCAAGGGUGUCUGGCCAGACUGGCUGACUGGCUUCCUGCUAACCAAACUUCAGGACAGACAAAAGCACGUGGAGCAAUCAGGAUAUCACCUCCCCAGGAUUGCUCACAUGCAGCUGUGUCCAGGCACAGCCAGACUAAUGCCAACUCCUUCAGUGCUCCUCACAGAAGAUGGACCUCUAUAGGAGUCCAGUGCCAAGCGCAGCCCUUCUUGCCAGUCUUUGGCUGCUGAUCUCUAGGAAAGGAUUAGCACUUUGUAGUGAGCACUCUUGAUCUUCUUAGCUACGGUCUCUCUUAAAUCUGCCCAGGAGGGCCACAAACAUUUCAGUCCUCUCAAANGAAGGCUAGCAUCAGAAGCAAGAGGACUUGCUACUUUAAGCUGCUACAGAAGUAAAACAAUGUUCAGCCCAAGUUCGUUUGUGCCANAGCAAAAGUACUACUGGAUUCAUCCACAAGUCACAAUCCAGGAAAACGUUUGCAAAAAGAGUGAGGGGUGCUACUAACUUUCCACAGAUGGGAAUCCAACCAUGUUUGUGGGGGCCNUGCUGAUGAUUUCUUCUAAGGAAACAGGCUGAAAGCUGUGUAGACAAGUCCCUUCUAGGAGAAAAUUGACACAGAUUUCAGUGCUCAACUUCUAUUCUAAUACUGAGCCGGUUGUAUAACUGAUUUGUGAAUAGAUUCUUUUGUUUCUGUUGCUCAUUAAUAAUGCUAGACAAGAACACUUAAUUGAAAAUGGAUGACUAUAAUGGAAAAAUAUGGUAAACUCUACUUCCAAAGACCAUGCCAAGUAAUAGGUUCAACUUACUUGUGACAUAGAACAGCAGAAAGGGUGACUCAGGUUUGGAUUACCUGACUGGCCUUCAGACCUUGUCAGCAUUUUGUAAAAUAAACACCUGUAUUGUCAGCA
rnacentral:lncRNA from 1 species